CUCGGCAGGAGUUGGCAGUGAAGCAGGCAGCAGCACUGAGAGAGCUGCGGGAGAGCAGCAGCUGUGGAAGGCGUUUCACUUUGGCAGGGUUGUUUCCCUGCUGGAAGGUGAACCACCAAGACCAGUUUCAAGUCUUUUGUAGUCUCUUCCAGGGCUGCACUGUAUGCAGCCCCAUCCACUUUCCCUCCCAUCAACUAUGAGCUGCUUUACUGUCCCAGCAGCAGAAAAGCGCUCCCACAGUGGGAUGGUGCCACCACCACGUAUCCAUAUGCAGAUGAUGUGUUCUCUUUACUCCACCUUGAUCGGUGAGCCAAGGAGCAGAAUUCAGGAACUUUCAUUCAUCCAUUUAUGCUUACAGUUUUGAUUUUCUUUUUCCUGGUAGGAAUUGAAUCUGCAUCAACAGGUAAAGUGAUAGGCUGGUAGAGCUCCAGCAUUACUGACAGCCCCAUCAGCCCCUCGCUCCACUCUACAGCUGCAACCUGAUACAGUUGAAUUCCAUCACCUGGGGAUAGAAACUCUCCCUCAACAAGCUUUUGUUUUUCUUUUCUCCUUAAAGUGGAGAUGACAGGCUUUGUGCUUUUGUGUUUGUUGGAUAUCUCAUCAACCAGUUGAGGCAGUCUUACUAGGCUUUGUAUAAAUUCUUUUAACCGAGUCCCAACCGAAGUUGUUAUUUACACUAUGGCUGUAGUUAAAACACUCAAAAAAGACAAAAAAACUAAUUUUUUUUCUCUGUAAAAUUCCCCAGGAGUGACUGGGAUUAUGUCUUCUAUCUGAGAUAAUCUGAUGCUUUUACUCUCAAUAGUUGCUUGUUGUUAUCUAAUCAAUACAAUAUAUCUUUUGAAAAACAACCAGAAGGGAAUGGUGUUUUUGCCAGGUUUAAAAUAUUUCAAGUUUAAAAAAAUGCCCUGAAAUUAUACAAACUCUCAAUUCUGUUCUACAAUUAUUGAACAACUCAAGGACAAUCAACAACCUAAUUUUGAUUUCCAAUUGGUCAGAAUUCUUAUUUAUAACACGUGUAACACUGUUUCCUCUAAAAAUGAUGAAAACAUUUACUCCUAACUUUUUUAUUUAUGGUUCCAAACAAUUGUU